AAUGAACGCUGGCGGCAGGCCUAAAACAUGCAAGUCGAACGCCCUAGCAAUAGGGAGUGGCGCACGGGUGAGUAACAUGUGGGAAUAUGCCUUUUGGUACGGAACAACGUUUGGAAACGAACGCUAAUACCGUAUGAUCCCUCCGGGGUAAAGAUUUAUCGCCAAAAGAUUAGCCCGCACUAGAUUAGCUAGUUGGUAAGGUAAUGGCUUACCAAGGCGACGAUCUAUAGCUGUUCUGAGAGGAAGAUCAGCCACACUGGGACUGAGACACGGCCCAGACUCCUGCGGGAGGCAGCAGUUAGGAAUAUUGGACAAUGGGCGCAAGCCUGAUCCAGCCAUGCCGCGUGAGUGAUGAAGGCCUUCGGGUUGUAAAGCUCUUUAGCCGACGAAUAUAAUGACUGUAGUCGGAGAAUAAGCCCCGGCUAACUUCGUGCCAGCCGCCGCGGUAAAAC
rnacentral:rRNA from 1 species